rfam:Nematostella vectensis strain CH2 x CH6 NEMVEscaffold_1120_Cont35067, whole genome shotgun sequence.
GCGUUGGUGGUAUAUUGGUUAGCAUAGCUGCCUUCCAAGCAUUUGACCCGGGUUCGAUUCCCGGCUAAAGCA